CAUGUUUCCUUUUAUUUUGUUUAUACUAACAUACUUGGAACUACUGAAAAGCUAAUGCUAUUAUGCAGGUGAGGACAACAUAAAAGCUGAAGAAGCCAAACCUACCGAGCCUGAGCAUUGACCAUGAUUCGAUAGUCAGAUGUCUAAGGUGUCAACAAGGGCAUUUUUCAGGUUUUCUUGCAAUGGAUUUGGACCAGACAACAGGGCCAUUUUCUCCAUUACCAAAGCCAGAAGAUCUGUGCCUUUCAUUUAUUUACUUCAAACCUUUUCUUUUUGUUGUCUUAUCUGUUUUAAGUGAUCAGUUGAAGCAAAUGAACAAUUUACAUUUACCCUUAUAAGCAUCUCAAUCCUUCCUUCAUUUUGUUUCCACUUACUUUGCUUAAGAUGAUUAUGUUUCCUAUA